rnacentral:tRNA from 1 species
GGUACCGUGGCCAAGCGGUAAGGCAGGAGCCUGCAAAGCUCUUAUCACCGGUUCGAAUCCGGUCGGUACCUCCA